rnacentral:rRNA from 1 species
GAUGAAUGCUGGCGGCGUGCCUAAUACAUGCAAGUCGAGCGGUAACAGGGGGUCUCACCGUUUCCUUGACACACCUAGCGCAUUAUCGUAGGUUGAUGACUUCGAGGGAACCGUGAGACCCUGCUGACGAGCGGCGGACGGCUGAGUAACGCGUGGGAACGGACCCCAAACUGAGGGAUAACUACUCGAAAGAGUAGCUAAUACCGCAUAUGAUCUUCGGAUUAAAGCUUUCGAGCGGUUUGGGACUGGCCUGCGUACGAUUAGAUAGUUGGCGGGGUAAGAGCCCACCAAGUCGACGAUCGUUAGCCGACCUGAGAGGGUGAUCGGCCACAUUGGAACUGAGAGACGGUCCAAACUCC